AAUUGCAGUUGAGGUAUUGACAAACUGAUAUGGAUUUUAAACUAGUUUUCAUACAUCUGGGAAAAUACCAUCCGUUUGGCCUCGACUAGCUGACCCCAUCCACCAUAUAUUAGCCAAUAUACAGACCACGUAUGACAACACCAGAAGUCAAAUUUGGUGGCAUGUCAGAAAUAAUUGAGGGAAAAGCUAAGCAAAAUAAAUACACAUCAUAAAGAUAAUUUGGUGCCUGUCCUCUUUUAUCCACUGUAUCUAGUAUCUGGCCCCUCGUUUUUACUGCUGCCUUGCGUUUUGGUUAAUUGAAAUGUUUGCCAUAGUCGACUUGAGCUGAGUAUCUAAGUGUCUGUGCAUCUGGCAGAUACAUACAGUCAUCACGGACAGCUGUCAUUUUCACGAGUUUCCCUGAGUGGCGGACCCUUUAAGUGCCCGCCCAACCCCAGUUUGACCUUCCCGAGUUUUGAGUUGUGAAAAACGAUUUCGUUUCUGCCAUUGAUUGUGCGGAUCUCGCCCUGUCGAUCGUAGGAUCCUUCAGUCCGUAAGAUAUUCACCCCAGAGAGCCAUGAAUACGAGUAUAUUCAUGAAUUUGCAGCGGGUCGGUGUCGUUGGCUCAUUUAACCAUUCCGAAACCAAAUCUGAAUUUUGUUUACCCGUCUUUCUGUUUUCGUUGUCUCUGCACUUUGAGCCUACGUGAUGUCUUGCAUGGAAAUUUCAUUUACAUUUCUCGUCCGCAUGUGUCUUUGGGUCUGCUUCUCGUCUUUUCCUCACAUGUCAACCGAGCAGCCAAAUAUAUUUUCGGUCGGUCCAAAAAUAACAACCAAAUCAACAAUAAUAUCAUUGGAAAUUGCUAAACAUUUGCUUAAUUUACAAACAUGUAUCAGUAUUAGGAAUUUAAAGUGUAAUUUAAAAUCACAAAAUAAAUACACAACAAAUACAUAAUUUACUGAAUGCAUCAAAUAGGUAAUUGUCACUAUCUACAUACAAGCACAGCAGAAACAACGUAGAACGUGUCAGAAAGGGACUGAUUGACAUGUGAGCUUGCCCUCCCAUUCCCCGUCUCGCUCACCGCCGUAUUCCCCUCUCUUUCGCUCUCUGGGGCUUCUGUUGUGCGUGGGCUUGGUAGAAUGCCUUUGAAGAAACCUUCGCUGCUUUUGGCUUUAUUUUCUGUGUCGCAAAAGGGAACACCGAGAGGCACGCACACACAGACGCCAUUAAUGUAUCACAUAACCCAGUAGCAAGUAGCUAGAGAAGCGGAGAAAGGGGCCCAGAAGAAAGGAGGAGGAGGAGGAGAAGAAAGGCGGGCGGAGAAUAGGGAGCCGUCUGAGUUUUAAUGAGAGAUGCACGCGUGUACCAAUUUCCCUUUGGGAAUCCAUUUUGGACACGUUCGACAUGUGGAACCUGUUUGUUUUCGGGAACCCAGACGGUGGAACCUGUUCCCAGUGAGGUCUCAGCCCAAUCCAGAGUAUAGAAUAACGGUGUCAGGCUGCAGAAACAACGAGGCAAAGUGAAAGAUUCUCGUUAUUAAAGAUGCCCAAAAUAAGAAAAAGGGGAGCAGAUAAGAGCAGUUGGCAAAGUUGUGAAAAGGUUUUUCUUCAAGAUUUUUAAUUUCCAUACUAAAUCUUCAUUAUAAGAGAAUGUACCAUUCUCACUUAUCAAUCAGAUAAGGAAUAAAUCGAUUGUCAAAUAAACGAAUAAAGAUUUCAAAGCUGUAACAUCCUCGAGCAGAAAGCA
rnacentral:sRNA from 1 species